rnacentral:rRNA from 1 species
AUGGCGGCGUUAGUCGGUGUCAUGGCCUUGGCUUUCGCUGGUCUAGUGCCAUUGAGAUCUUUGGCUUAUCUCGCUAGAAAAUGCGGCAAGAAAGAUUUAGCUCCGCGCCGUGACCAUCUAGCAGACGACGCGGCCUGUUGCUUCAUGUGGGCUUUUAAUCAGUUGCGCUCCAUUCUGGGCUACGGCGGCAACGGCGGCGGGGUCGCCGACGGCGAACAUAAAUGUUCAGAUUGCUUGCUGCCCCGGAGGCAACAUGGUGAUCGGGAACCAAGUUCAAGGUUCCCCAUGAGGUGCAUUUCUUAUUCUGAAUCUUGCUUGAACCCAUGGAUUUAUAUCGUCAGACUAAUUCAUGAUUUCAUUGUGCGUAGGUGGCGAUUUUCUCAGGUGAAGCAGAAGCAGGAGACCCCGGGGGAAGGCGUGUCUGUCAGGACCCAAGAUUCUGAAGAAAUGAAGUAA